GGGGCAGACUACAGAUCAGAUAAGUGAGGCAUGGGGCAGUUUACUGAUUAGGUAAGUGAGGCAUGGGGGGCAGACUACAGAUCAGGUAAGUGAGGCAUGGGGCAGUUUACAGAUUAGGCAAGUGAGGCAUGGGGGGCAGUUUAUUGAUUAGGUAAGUGAGGCUACCCUUGAUAAAGGCUACCAGGAGGAGCCGAAAUGUUGGGGGUUUUUGUUUUUUGACUUGUGUUUCUGCCCGAUUAGGCUUGUGGAGUGUGGUAAAUAUUUAUUUCUGUAUAUUGUUU